rnacentral:rRNA from 4 species
UAGUGGCGAACGGGUGAGUAACACGUGGGCAAUCUGCCCUUCACUCUGGGACAAGCCCUGGAAACGGGGUCUAAUACCGGAUAAUACCUGCCUGGGCAUCUGGGUGGGUUGAAAGCUCCGGCGGUGAAGGAUGAGCCCGCGGCCUAUCAGCUUGUUGGUGAGGUAGUGGCUCACCAAGGCGACGACGGGUAGCCGGCCUGAGAGGGCGACCGGCCACACUGGGACUGAGACACGGCCCAGACUCCUACGGGAGGCAGCAGUGGGGAAUAUUGCACAAUGGGCGAAAGCCUGAUGCAGCGACGCCGCGUGAGGGAUGACGGCCUUCGGGUUGUAAACCUCUUUCAGCAGGGAAGAAGCGAGAGUGACGGUACCUGCAGAAGAAGCGCCGGCUAACUACGUGCCAGCAGCCGCGGUAAUACGUAGGGCGCAAGCGUUGUCCGGAAUUAUUGGGCGUAAAGAGCUCGUAGGCGGCUUGUCACGUCGGGUGUGAAAGACCGGGGCUUAACCCCGGUUCUGCAUUCGAUACGGGCUAGCUAGAGUGUGGUAGGGGAGAUCGGAAUUCCU